GACGAACCGUGCGAACGUUAUUCGGAAUCACUGGGCUUAAAGGGCGCGUAGGCGGGCCGACGAGCCAGGGGUGAAAUCCUCCAGCCCAACUGGAGAACAGCCCCUGGGACCGGCGGCCUCGAGGGGUGCAGGGGCAUGCGGAACUCAGGGUGGAGCGGUGAAAUGCGCAGAUAUCAGGAGGAACACCGGUGGCGAAGGCGGAUCUCUGGGCCUUACCUGACGCUGAGGCGCGAAAGCUAGGGGAGCGAACAGG
rnacentral:rRNA from 1 species